AGUAUCAUUAAGUGAAUACAUAGCUUAAUGAGGGGAACUCAGGGAACUGAAACAUCUAAGUACCUGAAGGAAGAGAAAGAAAUUCGAUUCCGUAAGUAGCGGCGAGCGAACGCGGAUUAGCCCAAACUAAUAAAGUUUUCUUUAUUGGGGUUGCGGACAUAUCAUAACGAAGAGGUAUCGUAAUUGAAGAGGUUUGGAAAGACCCACCACAGAAGGUAAUAGUCCUGUAUGUUAAACGAGAAGACUUUAGAUAUGAUCCAGAGUACCACGGGACACGUGAAACCCUGUGGGAAGCAGGAGGGACCACCCUCCAAGGCUAAAUACUACCUAGUGACCGAUAGCGUAUAGUACCGUGAGGGAAAGGUGAAAAGAACCCCGGGAGGGGAGUGAAAUAGAACCUGAAACCCUGCACUUACAAGCUGUGGAAGCACAUUUCUUGUGUGACCGCGUACUUUUUGUAGAACGGGCCAACGAGUUACGUUAAGUAGCAAGGUUAAGCACUUAAGGUGCGGAGCCGUAGCGAAAGCGAGUUUUAACUGAGCGUUCAGUUACUUGACGUAGACCCGAAACCGGGCGACCUACCCAUGAGCAGGAUGAAGCGAAAGUAAAAUUUCGUGGAGGUCCGAACCCACGAGCGUUGAAAAGCUCGGGGAUGACUUGUGGGUAGCGGUGAAAUUCCAAUCGAGCCCGGAGAUAGCUGGUUCUCCCCGAAAUAGCUUUAGGGCUAGCCUCAAGGUGAGAGAUACGGAGGUAGAGCACUGAAUGUCCUAGGGGGUAUUGCACCUACCGAAGACUAUCAAACUCCGAAUGCCGUCAUCUUAUACUUGGGAGUCAGACUGUGGGUGAUAAGAUUCAUAGUCGAAAGGGCAACAGCCCAGAUCGUCAGCUAAGGUCCCUAAAUGUAAGUUAAGUGGUAAAGGAUGUGGGAUUGCACAGACAACCAGGAUGUUGGCUUAGAAGCAGCCACUCAUUCAAAGAGUGCGUAAUAGCUCACUGGUCGAGUGAUCCUGCGCCGAAGAUUUCCGGGGCUAAAACUUACUACCGAAGCUACGGCAUCAGUAAUGAUGGGUAGGGGAGCUUCCCAUACGGGUUGAAGCAUGACCGUAAGGACAUGUGGACAGUAUGGGAGUGAGAAUGUUGGCAUGAGUAGCGAGAUGUGGGUG
rnacentral:rRNA from 1 species